rnacentral:rRNA from 1 species
CAGUAGCCGCGGGAAAACAGAGGGUGCGAGCGUUAAUCGGAUUUACUGGGCGUAAAGCGUGUGUAGGUUGUUGUUCAAGUCAGUUGUGAAAUCCCUGGGCUCAACCUGGGAACUGCUUCUGAGACUGAACGACUAGAGUACGGUAGAGGGUGGUGGAAUUUCCGGUGUAGCGGUGAAAUGCGUAGAUAUAGGAAGGAACAUCAGUGGCGAAGGCGACCACCUGGACUGAUACUGACACUGAGGUGCGAAAGCGUGGGGAGCAAACAGGAUUAGAUACCCCAGUAGUCCCUGUCUCUUAUAA